rnacentral:rRNA from 1 species
GAGUUUGAUCUUGGCUCAGAGCGAACGUUCGCGGCGGGCCUAACACAUGCAAGUCGAACGCGAAAGGGAUUCGUCCCCGGUAGCGUGGCGUCCGGGUGAGUAACACGUAGGAAACCUUCCCUCGAGCGGGGGAUAACGUCCCGAAAGGGACGCUAAUACCGCAUAUGCCCACGUUGUCUUCGGACGAUGAGGGGAAAGCUGGCCACUGUAUACAAGCUAGCACUCGAGAAUGGUCCUGCGGCGCAUCAGCUAGUUGGUGGGGUAACGGCCUACCAAGGCGAAGACGCGUAGCUGGUCUGAGAGGAUGAUCAGCCACACUGGCACUGAAACACGGGCCAGACUCCUACGGGAGGCAGCAGUGGGAAUAUUGGACAAUGGGCGCAAGCCUGAUCCAGCCACGCCGCGUGAGUGAUGAAGGCC